GGUCGCAAGGCAGUUUAGUGGUUAGCACGGUCGCCUCACACUGCCAGGGGCGGGGUUCAAUUCCCACCGUGACCA